rnacentral:rRNA from 1 species
CCCUUAGAUGUCCGGGGCCGCACGCGCGCUACACUGAAGGAAUCAGCGUGGCUUUCUCCCUGACCCGAAAGGGUUGGGAAACCCGUUGAAUCUCCUUCGUGAUAGGGAUUGGGGCUUGAAAUUGUUCCCCAUGAACGAGGAAUUCCCAGUAAGCGCGAGUCAUAAGCUCGCGUUGAUUACGUCCCUGCCCUUUGUACACACCGCCCGUCGCUACUACCGAUUGAAUGGCUUAGUGAGCUUUCUGGACUGUUGCUUUUCGUUGGAAACUUCGUUAAGCAUACGGGAAGGAAAUCAAACUUGAUCAUUUAGAGGAAGUAAAAGUCGUAACA